AGUGAACGCUGGCGGUAGGCCUAACACAUGCAAGUCGAACGGCAGCACAGUAAGAGCUUGCUCUUACGGGUGGCGAGUGGCGGACGGGUGAGGAAUACAUCGGAAUCUACUUUUUCGUGGGGGAUAACGUAGGGAAACUUACGCUAAUACCGCAUACGACCUACGGGUGAAAGCAGGGGAUCUUCGGACCUUGCGCGAUUGAAUGAGCCGAUGUCGGAUUAGCUAGUUGGCGGGGUAAAGGCCCACCAAGGCGACGAUCCGUAGCUGGUCUGAGAGGAUGAUCAGCCACAUGGGAAGUUGGCCACCGUCCUGACUCCUACGGGACGCACCAGUCGCGAAUAUUGGACAACGGUCGGAAGCCUGACCCAGCCAUACCGCGUCGGUGACGAAGGCCUCCGGGUUGUAAAGACCUUCUGUUGGGAAAGAACCGCAGCCGGUUAAUACCCCGCUGUUCUGACGGUACCCAAUGAAUAAGCACCGGCUAACUUCGUG
rnacentral:rRNA from 1 species